UUGGUCAUUUAGAGGAAGUAAAAGUCGUAACAAGGUUUCCGUAGGUGAACCUGCGGAAGGAUCAUUAAUGAAACUUCAAAGUCGGCCAAAGGUUGUUGCUGGUGAUUAUUCACAUGUGCACGCCUUUGGUCGCAAAUCCACACACACCUGUGCAUCUAUGACUCGAGGUUGUAAUGACUGAGAGUAACUUUUAUACACUCUUGUAUGUAAUGGAAUGUCUUUUUGUGCUAUAAUGUACAAUAUAAACAACUUUCAACAACGGAUCUCUUGGCUCUCGCAUCGAUGAAGAACGCAGCGAAAUGCGAUAAGUAAUGUGAAUUGCAGAAUUCAGUGAAUCAUCGAAUCUUUGAACGCACCUUGCACCCUUUGGUAUUCCGAAGGGUACGCCCGUUUGAGUGUCAUUGUAAUCUCACUUCUACAACUUUAUUGUUGUUUGAAUGUGGACUUGGAUGUUGCCGUUUUAUCACGGCUCGUCUUAAAUGCCUGAGUGUACCCUGUUUUGCAGCGUAUCCAGUGUAAUAAACAUUUCACUAGAGUUGGUCGAAAGACCACGUUGACUAUAUGGGCUCUAUGCUUCAAACCGUCUGCCAUGUGGACAAUUUCUUGACAAUUUGACCUCAAAUCGGGUGGGACUACCCGCUGAACUUAAGCAUAUCAAUAAGCGGAGGAAAAGAAACUAACAAGGAUUCCCCUAGUAACGGCGAGUGAAGAGGGAAAAGCUCAAAUUUUAAAUCUGGUGUCUUUGACUCCCGAGUUGUAAUCUAGAGAAGUGUUUUCCGUGUCGGACCGUGUACAAGUUCCCUGGAACGGGGCGUCAUAGAGGGUGAGAAUCCCGUAUAUGCCACGGACUACCGAUGCUCUGUGAUACACUCUCAACGAGUCGAGUUGUUUGGGAAUGCAGCUCAAAAUGGGUGGUAAAUUCCAUCUAAAGCUAAAUAUUGGCGAGAGACCGAUAGCGAACAAGUACCGUGAGGGAAAGAUGAAAAGCACUUUGGAAAGAGAGUGAAACAGUACGUGAAAUUGUUGAAAGGGAAGCGUUUGAAGUCAGUCGCAUCUGUUGGGGUUCAGCCUGGCUUUUGCCUGGUGUAUUUCCUUUCCGAUGGGUCAGCAUCAGUUUCGACCGAGGGAAAAAGACAUUUGGAAUGUGGCUGUCUUCGGGCAGUGUUAUAGCCUUGUGUUGUAUGUCUCGGUUGGGACUGAGGAUUGCAGCGCGCCAUAAAUGGCCGGGGGUCGCUCCUCUCGACACGCGCUUAGGAUGCUGGCAUAAUGGCUUUAAGCGACCCGUCUUG
rnacentral:rRNA from 1 species